CUUAUUUGCCUACAAAUAAAUAUUUGGUGGUGCUGGGCUUUUGGUGGAGCUCUCCCUGAAUUCAAAGGACAGCAGCAGGAUAAACUCAAAAAGAAGAGAAAACUAUUUUUGUUUCCAUUAAGAAAACAGCUGCAUGCCAUUUGUGGGCCAGUGGAAAUCAAGGUGUGAUUUGACUUCCACAAAAUAUUUCAGAAACAGAAUUCAAGGAGGAAAUUCAUGAGGUCAUUUGAUGCCACAGACAAUUCUCUCUUUAGAACUGAGAGUUUUUGUCUCUGAGGGCUCUUCCUCUUUGCUCUGUGGCUGGCAAUAGAAGAGGAAAUGCAAUAGCUGAAGCUCAUUUGAGCCUGGAAUUCAGAGUUCCUGCACUGCUGCUCUUGAUCCACUGGCCUCUCUGGUUUCCAGAAGCUGGAUGGAUGAACUUGGAACAACCUCUGAAGUGAUUACCCUGGCAAGAACAGCGAGUUCCUUGUGAGGAGGCAUUAAAGUCAGCUCAUGUGAUGCACACUUUUGGGUUCCCACUUCCCACAGGAACACAUCAGAAGACAAGGAAGAAGAUGGUUUGUACUGGUGAAUCUCUGCUGAGGAUGGAAGGAGCCAAGAACUUCCAUAACUGCCCUUACAAAGGAUUCCCACCGAGCUUUGUUUUGUGUGACUGUGGAAAAAGAGGUGGAUUUGUGUUGCCUGCAAGCUCAUCCCAGCACUGCUGAGCGCUUUGUUUAUCCAUUCUCCAGAAAAGAUGUGCUGUGCUGUCAUGUUUGAUUGUUAGGAGGUUUUGUGAGGUCUCUGCUGCAAUGACUUUAGGGUUGUUCUGUCCUGAGGCAGGAACACCAAGGCUCUCCUGAGCUCAGCUCAACGCUGAGCUGCCGUGAACUGAACUCUUCAGCGUGCAGGGAACUGUCCCAGUGAGCAGAGCUGUGCUCAUUUACUCCCUGCAGAGAAAUCACAUUUGCUCUCCACAGCAUUUUCUCUUGGGAGGACCAGUUACUGGCUUGUGUCACAGGCAGCCUGCCGCUCCUCAGUGAUUUAUUCCUCCAGGCACACACCGAUCCCUUUCACCGCUCAGGGAUCCAAAUUCCACUCCCCAUCCACUGCAGGAGUGUGUGGGGCUGUGAGCACAGAAAUUGCUCUUGAGUAUCAGUUCCAGUUCAUCUGGUUUUGUUUCUGGUGCAGUGCUGCAGAGUGUUGAGUGUACAAACACACACGUGCUUGCAGGGAUAAAAGGCCUCAGCAGCCUCCUGUAUUCAUUAGCUGACCCAAAUUCUGCCCAGACUUGCAGAGCCUGUCAGGAUAACCAGAAUAGCAGUAGAUAAUCAGGAUGGCAAAAUUCCCCUUCUUCCUUUACCUGCUGCAGCUGGUUUGAGGGCAGUAUAUUUCUAUAAAUAAUAGACAGUAUUCUAUUAGCCUACACAUUAUUAUGCAUAGGGUAACAUUUUUCUUGUUUUAAGGGCGAUUAAAACAACCAAAUUCAAGACAGAAAACAAGGAAUAAGAAUGAGAAAGUGAUGUCAAAAUUUGAUUGCAAGCAUAUGGGUACCUCCCCACAUCCCUUAUGGCUGUCACUGGAUUUCUCUGGUGACAUUACAUUUGUUUCCCUCCUGGAAUUCAAUCUGUGUUUUCUCAUCUGAGUAAAGUUUUAGCAUUUCUGCUCUUUGUUGCUUUCUGCAGGAGCCAUUUAGGAGAUGAGCUGUGUAGGAAUGCAGUAAAAUACUGAGAUGCUCUGCUAGCUGCUGUGGUGAGCAAACCCUGUUGGCUUGGCUUAGGCCAAGUGUCACUUCAGUGUCCCCUGGCACUCAUCACUGCCUGGGACUGCCAGCCCUUUUCAGGCUCCUCCCUAUUGCAAUACAGCUUAUCCAGGCUGGAGCAGGAGAAGGAAAAGAAAUAAUUCAAAAAUAAUCCAGAAGAACGGGGAGGUAACCCACUAUGGACCCUGACUCAUGGGUUUUUUAGCCUUCCUGGUUAAAUAUACAAAGCCAAGGGUUCUGGUGCCUUGCACAGUACAUUAAACAGCUUAAUCACACUGUCCUCUCUCACAUUCAUAAAUUUAGUGUUUGUUCUCCUGAAGCAGCUGUUUUCUUCUCUUGCUCUACUUUAGCUCUUCUUCAGAAUACAAAUUCCAGCUCAUUUCCAUUUUUUUUCCAGACCUAACACUUUAAAGUUUGGUUUUUAACCCUUUAGACCAAAAAUUGAGUUGUUUAAGGACCACUCUUUUAUUUUUCAAAUAAAAUAUUCCUUUGCUGUUAAAUAUUUCCCAGUGUUCUUGAUCAUCCUUUUGGAAGGAGGGUCUCCUGGGACAGUGUCUGAGACAGAAGAGCUCGUUCCUCUUCUUGAAUUUGACUUGAUUGCUUUCAUGCAGAACUAAUUGCCAUGUUCUCCCAGGUAAGCCCUCAUUCUGGAUGCACUUCAGUUUUUUGCACAUCAAAGAAUGAGACAGAGACUUUGGAGAUGGAACUUUUAAGAUGGAAAUUAACAGGGGCUGUGCUUUGUCCUUCAGAAAACUUCAGACCUAAAGCAGUCUGGAUUUGGCAGCUGAAAAUGUUGGUAAUAAUGGCAGAUACUGCUGACACCCCUUCCCUUCUCCCCCCUUUGCUACAGGUUGAAGUUCUGUACAGAAAAGUCUGCUUCUCUUUAACAUUUUAAAAAACUGUGAUUGUAUUACUCAAUUAUUCAAAGAACACCUAAAAGUUAUAGAUACAGUUUUAAAUAUAUCUAUUUAUGCAAAAACUUAUAUAGGUGCUCACUAAAAUAACCCAAAUCAGCUAAAAUUAUCAUUCCUUGUUACACAUUUGCAGCACAAUGGACAGAAAAGCUUCCAGAAGUACUUGGGGAAAGAGCUGGCCCAGGUUUUAUUGAUGUCAUCUUCUCUCUUAGUCCCUGUUCCCUCCCUGUGAGCGUGGAGAGACAACUGCAGAGCCACUCACAGCUGGCUGGAGACAAAAAUCCUGAAUAUCUAAAGUUGAUCUGGAAAAAAGAUGUUCUAAAAUCACUUCUACUGCACCACCAAAAUCAUCAAACAUGUCACAGAUCAGGAUAAAAAAUAUUCAAUGGUAAUUUAGACUGCUCAAAAUCUUUUAAUUGAUUGUUUUUUGUCUUGCUGUCACAUUUCACAGGUGCAGUGAAUGUUUUCAGGUUUAAAGAGGAAGAUGUCCUGCAUGGAUGGGACGUAUAAAUUUAAAUUCAGAUACUUCCUAGAUAAUAAAACCACACAGGAGUAUAGGGACAUGGAAAGUGUUAAAACACAUCACCAGAAUAUUAUUAUUGAUGAUUAUAUUUGGCAGCUGGUGUAGGACAUUGCUGUGAAGCAGGAAUUUCCAUCUGAAUGACUAAAACUCCCACGGAGAUGAUGGAAUGUAUUUAUUAGGUGGCUGCCAAUUGAUAACAAAGACUGAAAUAACUGUAACUCCGAGUUUGUCAGGUUGAAAUAACAAUUCUCUGUAAACUUCCCACAUGAGCAGAAGGCUGAGCUGUUGCACUGGGUGCAGUCUCCUUGUUUUGACCCCUGAAUUUGUUUGUGUUUUCCCAUUUUUCCAUCCCUGGUCCAGCUGAGGGGAAAGGGAGCCAGGAGCUGGGUGGGAGUUUGGUCAUCAGCCAAGGCUGACCCACCACACUUAGAGAAAAUUCUCUGGCAAAAUGCAGCCCAAAGUAUUCUCUGAAGGGAAUCAAGUGAUAAAUGCCUGAAAAUGAGACCUUCCCUUCUAGAAAAGGUGGAUUUCUUUCUUUUUUUGUUUCAUUAGUUAGCUGUUUGAUUUUUUAGCAAAGAACAGGUAUAAAUGCCACGUCCUAGAAUGAAUUUAUGCUGGAAACCUCUUCUUUAGCUGGUGGUGAGGAAGCAGUGUUACCUCAGAGGAAAAUGAGUCAGACAAAACUCAUUAAUUUAGAAUAAGAUGCAUCACUUAGUGGAGGUUUAUGUGACACAGUGGUCUCCAGCAGUGAGGGGCUGUAUUGGGUGAUGCAGGGAAUCCUGGAUUUGUGAGGAUUAUGCAGAAAUUCCUCCUCAGCUAUGAAUUUCCAGUUUGAUGUAUUGCCAGGCUCCUGAGGAGACUCUGUUUAUUUUGGUGAUGUUACAGGCAUAUGCAACGCCAUCCUCAGACUGUACUUGGCCAGAGGUUAAAUCCCUCAGGUAUUUAUUUGUAUGGUAAUCAUGGCUUGGUUCUCUUUCCUGCCAUGUGAGAAAAGCACAAACCAGUCCCCAGGUUUGCCAGAUAACUGUUCAAGGAAGUACAAAGCAAAAAGGUCUGGCUGCUGUUGUAAACAGAAUGUGAAAGGAGUGGCAGAGCUCUUUUGUUAUUAGAAUAAGGAGUUUUAACUUUGUUAUUAGUGUAAGGAGUGGAACAGCUCCUCUGUUAUUAGAUUGGCCUGGAAAGAGAUGGAGAUUUUCACACAUUUCCUCUCAAAAUCCAAGUGGUCCACUGAGAAGUUUAAAAUGCUGCCAUAAAUACAUGAGGCUUUAAUGAAUUAUUAAAUUAAUAAUAAUUUAUUAGGCCUGCAUCAAUAGUUCCCAAUGCUUCUUAGUUACACAAAAAUAUCAGGGGAAAAAUGAAAAAGAAGCCUGUGGCUGCAAAUAAACCUAAGUGUUCACAGAAAUGGUGUUUGAUCCAGAGUGCUGGCAGGACAGUGUGUGUGUAAUCACAGAUGCACAACCAUGAUGAUGUCUAAGGUAAAACUCCACAGGAAAACGCUUGGCCAGGUCUUUUUCCAAGAUUAGUUUCCUAAGAAAGUGACAAUUUCUGAAAAGGGUUUUAGAGAAGGUUAGGUUCUGAUAAAGCUUCAGGAGAGAAGUUAUUUUAGGUCCAGCAUGAUAACUGAUAAUGAGAGACCCAGCAGGCUGGGUUUUAUGGCAUUCAUUAAGGGGUGAGAGAGGGAAGAUCUUAGGUCUGAUUUAAUGUCUAUUCCUGUCUUCUCCCUCAGAAAACCUCAGAAACUGAGAAAGCCAGGAGAAAAUUAAAUUAUUUUUGCAUAGAUACCUUUCAUCAAGGAACUUUUUACACGGGUGUAUAGUGCCAGGAUGUGGGGGAAUGGCUUCAGACUGGCAGGGAGGAAAUCUGAGCAGGUAUU